UUAGUGGUAGCUCAGUGGUUAAGAUGUUGGACUUCCGCUCGGAAGGUUGAGAGUUCGAAUCCCAGCACCACCAAG